AGUCAGGCUACUUAACUAAUCCACUGUUUGCGAUUUGGGGCUAUGGCAUAUACCAGGCCAAGCUCUGUAGUGGUUGAUCAAC